UUUUUGUUGGAGGAAACUUGGUAUCAUGGAGGCACAAUCAUGUGUGAAGUAGUGUGAUGCAUCAUUUAUUAGAUGAGGUUGAUCUUAAAAACUCAUUGCUUGUUAAAUUUUGGUAUGAUAAUUAAGCUACUCUUCAUAUUGCUUUCAACAUUGUGUUUCAGGAGCAGACCAAACAUAUCAAGAUUGAUUGCCAUUUCGUUAGUGUAAAGAUUUAACAUAAGAUCAUUUUG
rnacentral:misc_RNA from 1 species